rnacentral:lncRNA from 1 species
AAUCAGAGGCUUCCAUUUCAAGUGCCUUUUCUCAAAAUAAUCAUUAGUAUUACUUGUUCUCUAUAUUUUUCUACAGAAAAUGAGUCCACUCAUCCUCUAUAACUGCUAUACAAUAUCUUUGUUAAAAUGCUGAGAACAUUUAUCCUAAAAGAAGGCACCAAAGCAAUGGGGGCUGUGCAAAUAAUGAUUGGCCUGAUUCACAGUGCACUGGGAACUCUCUGGAUUCAUUGGAUUUUGCUAAGAGAGGAUUCAAGUGGUUCUGGUCCUAUCCCUAUAAUUGCUGUAGUAAUUUACUCAUUUUUGUCAUUAUUUUUUUUCAUCAACUCGGGAUCCAGUAGUGUAAUACAGAAGCCUGUUACAAGAUAUAAGGCACUUCGCCCUCGGAAAUCUCACUGUCGGAAUCCUUGGAAAUCAUACCACGCACAACUUCUAUUUCUUCAUAAUUUGCAAAGAACCAGUGUGACUCCAGUCAAGAACAAAAGAUUAAUUGUGAAUUAGCGAAGAACUCUAAUUUUUUCAAGAAGCCACAUGGAAAACGCAUUCUA